rnacentral:rRNA from 1 species
CCAAUAGCGUAUAUUAAAGUUGUUGCAGUUAAAAAGCUCGUAGUUGAAUUUCGGGAUCAAUAUAUCGGUCGUGCCAUUGGUACGUACUGGUAUCAUUGGUUUCUCCUUUCUGACGAACCAUGAUGUCAUUAAUUUGGUGUUAUGGGAAGUUAGGACUGUUACUUUGAAAAAAUUAGAGUGUUUAAAGCAGGCUUUAGCUUGAAUACAUUAGCAUGGAAUAAUGAAAUAGGACGUUCGAACCUAUUUUGUUGGUUUCUAGGAUCAACGUAAUGAUUAAUAGGGAUAGUUGGGGGAAUUAGUAUUCAAUUGUCAGAGGUGAAAUUCUUGGCUUUAUUGAAGACUAACUACUGCGAAAGCAUUUGCCAAGGAUGUUUUCAUUAAUCAAGAACGAAAGUUAGGGGAUCGAAGACGAUCAGAUACCGUCGUAGUCUUAACCAUAAACUAUGCCGACUAGGGAUCGGAUGAUGUUAAUUUUUUAAUGACUCAUUCGGCGCCUUAAG